rnacentral:rRNA from 1 species
UACGUAGGGUGCAAGCGUUAAUCGGAAUUACUGGGCGUAAAGCGUGCGCAGGCGGUGAUGUAAGACAGGUGUGAAAUCCCCGGGCUUAACCUGGGAACUGCAUUUGUGACUGCAUCGCUGGAGUGCGGCAGAGGGGGAUGGAAUUCCGCGUGUAGCAGUGAAAUGCGUAGAUAUGCGGAGGAACACCGAUGGCGAAGGCAAUCCCCUGGGCCUGCACUGACGCUGAGGCACGAAAGCGUGGGGAGCAAACAGG